GUGUGUGUGUGAGUGUGUGUGUAGUGAGGAGGAGGACAGCAGCUGAGCAUUUUACUUCACUUCACUUUUAUAUCAACAACAAUGCUGUCAUUAUCAGUGUUGCUGCUGCUUUCAGCUGCAUUCUGUGGUGUUGGAGGUGUGGAGCUCACUCAGACAGACUCUGUGCUGGUGAAGCCUGGAGAGUCGUUCUCCAUCUCUUGUAAGAUCUCAGUGUCGAGUUAUUGUAUUAACUGGAUACGGCAACCUGCUGGAAAAGCACUGGAAUGGCUCGGAUAUCUAUGUAGCACUGAUAGCACUAAUCUCAAAGACACGAUGAAGAGCAAGAUCAGUCUCAGCCAGGACAAAUCCAGCAGCACAGUUUAUUUAAGAGGACAAAACUUUCAGGUCGAGGACACGGCUGUGUAUUACUGUGCCAGAGACACAACACUACAAACUCACUGAAGCCCUGUACAAAAACAUCCCUGGUCAUUUUCCUCUCUCUGCAGUACACAUGUCCCCAGAGAGGUCUGGUAUAUAUGAGCUAGCAGAGCUAAGACACUUCUGUAGUUCAA